UUAGGAUAUAUAUUUAAGUAAUUAGUGGAUGACCGAUUUCUUUCAAUGUGGGUGAAUGAAUGUGUGUGUGUACAUGGUGUGUGUGGGGGGUGGGGGAGGUUUUUGAGGGAGGUUUUUGUGUUGGUACAUUAUCUGUGUAAAUGUAUCUUGUGCUGUGAUUUAUGUUAAUUUAAAAAGAAAAAAGUCAGUAUUUAGAUGUGAGAUUUAUACUGUCUUGUUCAAUAUUUUAGGUGAGCCUUCAACAGACGUAAACCAUCCCGACUUUCAGCCCACUAUUUUCAACUUUACACCAUUGAACAAGUCAACUCCGACAUCGUUGGAAAGGUUCGAGCGGGUGGCCAAACGGCGAAGAAGAUUGGCAUUGACACCCUGUCAAACGAAGGAAAAUGUAUCGCACAGCCAUCAGGAACAAACAGCCGCCCAGGCCUUGUUGGAUUUGGCACAUCAUACCCCAUUGUACAAAGAUUCAGGAACAGAUCCUGACCCUGACCCUCUUCAGCAGCAGUAUGAUCAGCUAAAAAGGGAUUACGCAGGACUUCAACAGGACUACCAACGUGUUCUGGAUGAAAAUCUGAGUCUCAAGGCCGAACGUGAAGCAAGUUGGUUUACCUACACAAAUCUCAACAACUCGGUGACAAAAACAUUGACAGGACUUCCUACUGUGGACUUAUUCCAGUGGUUAAUGUCCCUUGUGUGUCUUUCUCUGAAACCAGUCGGUAAAUUGUGUUCUGGUGACAUUCUUCUGCUGGUUUUGAUGAAACUGAAACUUGGCUGUACCAAUAAAGACUUGGCAAUACGGUUUAAGGUUGCCCCGACACAGGUGUCUGCCAUCUUGAAUAGCGCCAUACCCAUAAUAGCUAAAAAACUGGAAUUCCUCAUACGGUGGCCUACAAAAGGUGAGGUGCUGAAGAAUAUGCCAAAGAUGUUCAGGCAGCACUACAGGAGAGCUAGAGUAAUUAUUGACUGUAGUGAGAUUUUCAUUCAGCGACCUGCGAAUUUGAGUGCACGUGCAAAGACAUGGUCCAACUACAAGCAUCAUAACACAGCAAAAUUCUUGAUUGGCAUCACCCCUUAUGGAACGGUUAGUUUUGUUUCUUCCAACUGGGGUGGACGAGUUUCUGAUAAAGAACUGACCAAACAAUCCGGGUUUUAUGAUAAACUUGAGCCUGGUGAUUUGGUGUUGGCAGAUAGAGGAUUUUUAAUUGCAGAAGAAUUGGCUGCUCAUGGGGCAUCAUUAGCCAUGCCUCCAUUUGCCAAGGGAAAGCAACAAUUCUCGCAAAAAGAAGUGGAAGAGGCCAGGCGCUUAUCAAAGCUGAGGAUUCAUGUUGAACGAGCAAUUGAGCGUGUAAAACGAUUUGGAAUUUUGAAAAAUGUUAUGCCAUUAACACUGUCUCGUCAUAUUGAUUCUAUACUGAUCAUAUGUUGUGCAAUUACAAAUGUUUUGCCUAAACUGUUGAAGUGACACCU